rnacentral:lncRNA from 1 species
GCUGACCAGCAGUGUGGAAACUGAGACAGAAUUUCUGUUUCAGAUGGAAGGCAUAAUUCCUUCUUUUGCGGAGAACCUCAGGUCUUGGCUUGUGAAGCCUGCCAAGGCUUGGAUGAGACCCACCUAUGCUAUCAAGAAAAAUCCCUCCGAUUUUCAGUCAACUGACUGUAGCAACACCUUGACUAUGAUUUCACCACAAGUCUGGCACCAAAGCUUACUCAAGUGUAAACGCAUGAAGUGAACUAUUGCACUAAGUGAACUGUGUCAAAAACCCUGAAGCUGAGACUGUCACCUGUCCAGGACCAGGUUCUGCCUGAUUAGCGCGUGAGCCCUGGCUGGACCUCCUGAGGUGGUUCAGUUUUGACAGCUCCACAAGACCUACCUCCUGGGGCGGCUCUACACAGUGAUACCAACUCCACCGCUGUGCACAUGGGACUCAGAGCUCGAUGACUCCUGUGUGACUGCCAGGCCUUGCUGGAAGAAUAAACAACCUCAGUCUACCCUGAGGGAUGGCACGCCAGGGGCACAAACUCUCUAGAUGCACGCUGGAGCCUGCGGCAGUCCUCCAGUGCCCUUUCCUCCAGGAAGCCUUCCUGACUUCCCGUGCUUCUGCACCCUGGGGGUCUCCAGUGAGUGGUCCUGGGUGCAUGGAUCAUUUACAAACCUGUGAGCAGGAAGCCAAGGGCUGGGUGACUUCCCAAGUCCUUUGGGGGCUGAAGACUCCUCUUAGAAGUUCUGGAAGGAAGUUCAGGCCCACAUUGGAAUCACCCCAUUGCAGGGGCUUCACCUGCUCUGAAGCUCGAUGAGGACCCCCAGGUGGGAGCCCGAGAUGAGCGACAUCUACCCGGUACUGAUCCAGGUGGCAGUGGCUGGCACCGCCCCACCUCCAAGAGGUCCCACAUUCAGGCGUUGUGUGAACACUUUCAUGUGCUCUCUGUAAGCUGGGACUUGUGCAGCAGAGGCCAGAUGAGGUAGAAGUCCUGGCCUUGGGGUCCCAGGGGCCCCCAGGGAGCAGCUUGCUUGGAUCCUGGAAGUCCCCAAGCCAGGCGGUCAGACCUUCUGCACAUCCAGCGGGAGGAAGUCUUUGGGCCUCUGCAUGCUCUCACUGUCCCUCUUUUGCAUCCCGUGUCUGGGGGAAAUGCUCCGCCCAUCUCCCUGAGAGCCACCAAGGGCCCCAAAACCCUCUUUGCUGCAGUGCCUGCAGGCCUGACCUGUGACAGCAGCUCUUCAACAUCUAGUGUGACCGGAAAGGACCGCCAGGCCCCCAGCCCCGUCCAACAUCUAUCCCUCUGCCCUCCUCCCUCCCGUCUCAGUGGCCCAUUGUGGGGACCACUGCAUCCAUGUGACCAAGCAGCUCUCUUCUCCCUUGCAAAACUGUCCUUGGCUAUGUCCCACAUGGACCCUAGGCAGAGCCUCCCUUCCGUGGCAUGGGGGACAGUGGAGUGGAUCCUCUGUUCCCUCCUUUUCUUCGAAUAUUUAAGUCCAAUUUAGUCAAAUGUCGACAUUAGCUACUGAACAAAAUCAAAGUGCCAGGCAAGAUGCAGUCUGCCAAUGGAGCCCCGGUAUUGGGGUACCUCAGGGCAGGCACCUGCCCAGAGACAGCCCUAUCCCCAGGACUCAGUUUCUCCCUGGAGAAAUAAGAGCUGCAAUCGCCGCAGCCUCCAUACAGCACACGGACCACAAACCCAGGGCUCUGAGAUCCAGAGUCGUGGCCCUGUGCUGGUCCGGGAUGGCAGGGUACCAAAUCUGACCGUAAACUGAUUGGAGGGGCGUGCUUGUUGGCACGGGCUCAAGGCAACACACAGCGAGACAAAUUCAUCCUGUCCUUUAUUAAAAAGAAGACAGAAAAGGAAGAGGGGAAGCAGAAGGAGAAGGAGAAGAAGGAAAAAUGUUUCCCACAGGACUGGCCUGCAAAACUCCUUCCAAGUCUCUCCAAAUACCGCCUUCCCAGGUGGCCUCUGAGACUACUGCGCCUUCUCCUUCCACACCCGCCCUCCUCUCCACUUUCCACCUCCCGUCCUCCAAGGCCCAUGGUGGCUCCUCUUUCCCCACACGGGCCUUGAAUGACCC